AGUGAAUAGAUACCCUGGUAGUCCACGCCCUAAACGAUGCCAACUAGGUGUUGGGGAAGGAGACUUCCUUAGUACCGUAGCUAAACGCGUGAAGUUGGCCGCCUGGGGAGUACGGUCGCAAGAUUAAAACUCAAAGGAAUUGACGGGGACCCGCACAAGCGGUGGAUGAUGUGGAUUAAUUCGAUGCAACGCGAAAAACCUUACCUACCCUUGACAUGCCAGGAAUCCCGCUGAGGGGUGGGAGUGCUCGAAAGAGAGCCUGGACACAGGUGCUGCAUGGCUGUCGUCAGCUCGUGUCGUGAGAUGUUGGGUUAAGUCCCGCAACGAGCGCAACCCUUGCCGAUAGUUGCCAUCAUUCAGUUGGGCACUCUAUUGGGACUGCCGGUGACAAACCGGAGGAAGGUGGGGAUGACGUCAAGUCCUCAUGGCCCUUAUGGGUAGGGCUUCACACGUCAUACAAUGGUCGGUACAGAGGGUUGCCAAGCCGCGAGGUGGAGCCAAUCCCAGAAAGCCGAUCGUAGUCCGGAUCGGAGUCUGC
rnacentral:rRNA from 1 species